rnacentral:lncRNA from 1 species
UUUUUUUUUUUUUUUAAUUUCUUAUUUCUUGUGUUUUCUAAUUUAAUUUCUAACUUAUUUUAAUGUACUAAAUGAAAAGUUACUAUUUUAUCAUUUCAAACAUAUUAAAAAUAUGGUCAAAAUUAAAUUUUUUAGACAACUGAUAGACAUCUGGAUGAAAACCGUCCAAAAUGAUUUUGUCGCAAUAUUUCAAAAGAUUUGGGGUGACGAUUGCAAUAAAUUAAAGGUUUGGAGAAAAUUUGCUAAUAUUUUAAAGGUUUGGGGCAUCUGCUGUAAUUAUCCCGCUGAUUGUAUCUAUUGCACUCAACAUUUUACGCUUUCCUGGACAAGCCCUUGUAUCAUUUAAGACUGCAUAAAAAAAAGGAAAAUUGCAUCCGAGGUACCAAAUCUUUCGUUUAUUAGCAGACUUUGCCCAAACCUUUAGUUUGUGCCACCGGAGAUACCAAACCUUUAAAAAAUGUGUGGGGCCAGUCCAAAAUGACGGUUUUCGUCUGUUUGACCGCCAAAACCGUCAGUUGACCCCUUUAAUGAUAAUUUCAAGAUUUUUUUCCAAAUAAGUGAAGGGCAAUAUGGUCAUUACACACAUUUCCCACCUCAACAUCAAACACGUCAGUUGCAACUUCCUUCCACUCACCAUCCACUAUGGAACCUGAAAAACCCACGAAGAAGACGAAACGAAUUUCGAAGAAGACGAACAUCCAGUGGACAUUGCAGCCCACAUUCGAGGCUCUCUUUCCCAACCCGUGUAUGGUAAGUGUCUUCCCCUGUUUUCGAUUUACGGUGUGAAGUUGUAUGAUUAUGAAGUUUCCCUGUUCGAUUGUGUUCAUGUACUGGGGAAUUCAAAAAUUUUAAGUGAUUUGGUGUAUUAGAGCGUAAUGCUUGUGUACUAUCUUUUCUGCACAUGUUCGUUGCUCGAACUGAAAAGGGCUAGGGCUUAACUUCCUUUUUUUCGGUGUUUUUUCAGGGGAAAAUUCAAAGUACUUCAGCAUACGACUUCAUCAUGGUGGAAUUUUAUUGAAGAAGAUGAGAAAUUUUGUAUAUGAGUAUGGGAAAAUAAGUUAUAUAGACUAUAUCGACCCUGAUUUCUUCAAUAGAUUUCUUUUGGGCAAUGCCGUGAAGAUGUUAGGAUAUUCUGAUAGAAUUAGAUAUCUGUACAAGAUGGAGAAGAAAAGAAUGAGUGAAGGUUCAUUUUGGUUGGUUAAAGACUCAGAUUUCAUGAAUUUAGUGAAGUGGCUUGGUGAUAAUAGGACAGCUGAACUGUAUUGCUUGCCUGUAGUUGAGGUUUUGGAGUUGCCUUGGGAUGAAACAGAACAGAAGGAUGUUCGAGUGUUUGAUUGUGAGACUGGUGAAGAGUUAGUGAAGGUACAAAAGUCUGGUGAAGCAUUGAAUGAGCAGCAACCAUGCUAUGCAAUUGAGAUUUUUGAUGAAUCAGUAGAAGGUGAUGACGUGUAUGUAGUUGAUGAAGUGGAUGACAUGGAAGCAGAUGAAGUGGAAGUUUAUACAGUGCGUGGAACAGAGCAUGAGUAUACAGAGGUUGAUUUUAUAGGGGCUGACGUAGACUCACAUGAAUCAGAAGUGCAUGCUGCUGAACCAGAGAAACCACAUGAUGUUGAACCACAGUUGAGGUUUGAACAUGAGUUGCAUGACGCUGAACUACAGCAGCAGGCGCAGUAGGAACUGCAUGCUGCUGAACAAAAGGCGCAGGCUGCUGAACAUGAUGUCGAAGCAGAGGUGCAGCAUGCUGAAAUUGAUGUGCAUGCUUUUGGACCACAGCAGCAGGCUUAGCAGGAGCUGCAUGUUGCUGAACAAGAGGUGCAAGUUGCUGAAUAUGAUGCCGAAGCAGAGGUACAACCUGCUGAAAUUGAUGUGCAUAUUUCUGGACCACAGCAGCAAGCUGCUGAACAUGAGUUGCAUGAUGCCGAACCAGAGGUGCAGGCUGCUGAAACUGAUGUGGAGUUUGGUGAAGGUCCUGAGCUGGAUGAUGAAUAUGAGGAGGGUAUUUUGGGAGAAAAAUUCACUGACUCAGAGUACGAGCAGGAAGAAAAUAUUGCUGUGGAGGAUAAUGAUGAAAACACAUAUUUCAGGUUGAGUGAAGGUUUUGACAUUAGUGCAAGUGGUGAGCAGGAAGGCGUAAGGGAUGUGCAGGAAGGGGAGGCAGCUGCUGGGAAAGAAUCUGGAACAGAAUACGAAGACUCCAGUGAGCUUAGAAGCUUACCCAGUGAUACCGAGGCUGAGGGAUCAUCUGCCAGAAGGAAGAAUGUGUGCUGGUUUAACCUUGCAACUGAUAUGGAAGAUCCACAGUUCAAGCUAGGUAAUGUCCACUGUUUUGUGUAAUUCAUUUCUGGUUUAAUCCAUUUGGAUGAUAAUGCAUUCUGGUUUAAUUCAUUUCUACCAGGGAUGAAAUUCGACAACGUUAAGAUUCUAAGGAAUGCAGUAGUUCAAUACUCAGUCAAAAAUUCCAGGCAACUGAGAUACGUGAAAAAUAUGAGGACACGGUUGAGAGUUCGGUGUCAAGAUAAUUGUCCUUAGGUUUUGUAUGCAUACCAACAACCCGACAAGAGUCUUAGAAUUAACACAUUUGUAGAUGAGCACACAUGUACCAUGGUGUGGUAAAAUAGAAGGGUUAAUUCAGGUUUUCUGGCAAAGAAGUACGUGAGAAAAUUUAGGUCUGAUCCAAACAUACCAAUGAGUAGUUUUAUGGAGACUGUGAAAGCGGACUGCAUGUAUGAGAUUUCAAAGCAUCAGUUCUACAGGACAAGAUCGAAAUGUGCAGAAGUUAUUAAUGGGAUUGUAGCUGAGCAGUACAAAAUUUUAUGGGAUUACGGUGAGGAAUUGAAGAGAACAAAUCCAGGAAGUACAGUCCAAAUCGAAUGUUUGGGACAUACUUUUAAGAGAUUGUACAUCUGCAUAGGGGCUUGUAAGGAAGGGUUUAAGGCUGAGUGCAGGGCAGUUGUUGGGUUGGAUGGAUGCUUCCUAAAAUCUGCAUAAGGGGGACAGUUGUUGGCAGCUGUUGGCAUUGAUGGUGAGAAUUGUAUGUUCCCGUUAGCAUGGGCAGUUGUGGAUGCGGAGAACAAAAUAAACUGGCAAUGGUUCAUAGAAUUGUUGGUUGAUGACAUAGGGAUGCACAACCCUCGAGCUUGGACAUUUAUUUCCGACAAACAAAAGGGUUUGGUGGAUUCCAUAAGUCAAUACUGUGAAGGAGCGGAGCAUAGGUGUUGAACAAGACAUCUUUAUAGCAAUUUCACCUUGGCACACAAAGGUCUGGCACUUAAGAACUUAUUUUGGACUGCAGCAAGGGCAACAACAGUGCCGGAGUGGAAGAGUGCAAUGAAUGAGUUAAAAGACAUAAGUGAAGAGGCUUACAACUGGUUCCUUGAAAAACCUCCUUCCCAAUGGACCAGAUCUCAUUUUGAAGAGCAUUCGAGAUGUGAUAUUCUUCUUAAUAAUUUGUGUGAGGCAUUCAACUCUUCCAUUGUUGUUGCCAGAGACAGGCCCAUCAUCUCCAUGCUAGAGAAAAUUCGGCAUCAGCAAAUGAUAAUGAUGAAUGCAAAAAGGGAAGCGACAGAGAGGUGGGAUCAUGCAUUCGGGCCAAGAAUUGUGAAAAUCAUUGAGAAGGCUAAGUCUGAGGCAAGGUACUUGAAGGCAGACUAUGCAGGCAACCAGAAAUUUGAGAUAAGCAGCAGAGACGAUUUGAGGUGGAGCGUUGACUUGACAGAACAUGCAUGUGCUUGCAGAAAAUGGCAGCUCACUGGAAUACCAUGUCCCGAUGCAAUAUCAGGCAUGCUUUCAAGGGAUAUUGUCAUAUAUGAGUACAUCGACCUAUGGUAUAGCAAGUAGACAUACCUGAAAUGUUACUCCCCAGUGAUCCACCCGAUGUCAGGGCCUAAACUGUGGCCGGAAUUGGGAAAGCAUCAUCUCACUCAACCUCAGAAGAGAAAACAGGCUGGCAGACCCAAAAAAUUGAGGAAGAGGUCACAGGCAGAGCCACCUGCAGGCGUGAAGAUGGGAAGGACUGGCAUGAAGAUGACGUGUAAACGUUGUGGAGGGUCUGGACAUAACAGAAGAAGCUGUAAGGAGGCACUCCCUGGUGAAGAUAGUUCACAGCAACAGUCUCAACCAACCACACAAGAAGAUACACAUACCAGAUCAACAAAGGGGAAGAGAAAAGCACAUUCAACGCAAACCUCCAAGUCACAGACAAAGAAGUCCAAGCAUAGAGGAUCGCAAUCUUGAACAUCAUGUGGUUUCUCUUGUAUAGUUACCUUUUUGGGGAAAUGCUGUGGUUUUUUGUAAACUGAACUGGAAAUAUAUGCUUCCAAUGCUUUGUAUUUUGUAGAUAUAACUGGAAUUUUUGAUGAUAUUGUUCAAUGUGAUGAUAAUGUUGAUGUCGAAUAUCUUGCAUUAUAGUUCUGCUUUUCGUCAUUGGUUUCUGAAAUUGUAUUCGUAAGAUCUGAUGUGCAGGCGAUUAUGAAAUAUAUGAGAAUGUUUGAUACUUCCUAUGAACGUAUUAUCAAACUUUUGGUACCUUUACUGCAAUGUUUUUAAAGGUUUGGUACUCUGUCUGAAACCAUUAGAAAAUGUUUGGUACUGAUUUUGCGAAUCGUUAUAAGGUUUGGUACCUAUGCUAUACCUUCUUCAGAUAAGUUUGAAGUGUAAUAUGCUCUUUUAAUUUCGCAUUUGACAUAGAGGCCAGGAAAAUAUCGUUAAAUUUCAAGUUAAAAUGUACAACACAAUUUUUCCGUUUUUACAUAUGCAUUUCACAACAUCUAACACAUGGCUCCAUUUCGAAACCCUAAGCUCAAAUUUCUGGAACAAAAAACUAAAAUCCUACAAUCUGACCCUACAUACCUAGGAACAAACCCAUUUUGCAAACACUCCACACACAAAGCCGAAAAGCCAGAUCUUCCACACAUUUGGUCUUGUUGCUUGAAGGGUGUCGAUUUCAGCUUCCAUUUUCCUCCUAGCUCGUAAUAGACCAAGAAUCAGUUCUUUCGAUCUUUCACACAUCGGAGGGUCACACCAUAUAAAGAAGGUGCAUCCACCCACAUCUUGGCUUCGAGGACAAGUGAGAAAUCUUCUUCCCGGGUUCAAGUUCGUCCACGAGGUCUUCAUCUGCAUACAUUCUCCUCCAUCUUCUUGUUGAUUUUUUUUACUACCUGUGAGAGAGAAGGUAGGUAAUAUAUAGUAAUAAAGAAAUGGAGGGAAAUAAACAGUGAAGUAUAUAAUAGGAGGAAAAUGUGUGUAAUGACCAUGUUGCCUUUCACUUAUUUGGAGAAAAUUCUUGAAAUUAUCAUUAAAGGGAUCAACUGACUGUUUUGGCGGUCAAACAGACAGAAACCGUCAUUUUGGACUGGCCCCACACAUUUUUUAAAGGUUUGGUAUCUCCGGUGACACAAACUAAAGGUUUAGGCAAAGUCUGCUAAUAAACGAAAGGUUUGGUACCUCAACUGCAAUUUCCCCCCAAAAAAAUUGCAAAAUCGCAAAUCGAACUGAAACUAUUGAGUUGAAACUGUUAGUUCGGGUUUACAUGAACGCGUGGUUUCUUUUUACUCAAAUCGAACCAAACCAUAUCAAAAUGGUUUGGUUUAGAUUUUGAUUUUCAAAAACGAACUGAACAGUUUUUAAAUUUUUUAAUUAAAACAUUAAUUUUAUUAAUUUAAAAAUUUUAUAUAAAUCACGAUUAAUUUCUCUACAAAUUUUAGGGCUUCUGGAUUUGGUCGCCUUAAAUCCACACAAAAAGUUUUUGAGAUUUUUUAGCCAUUUAUUGCGUCUUUCCCCGAAAAUGGCAUUACAUGGCUUAAAGCUCUUUUACAUUCCAUUAUUUUCAGAUCUUCAAAAGAAAAAUCCCUGAUUUAUACUCACCUCAUGAACUAAUCCCAUCUCUAGAAACAAAAAUAUAUUUUGAAUCCAAUGGAAAAAGGCUAAAUUUAGGACUGAAAAAGUUAGAAUUCUUGGAACCCAUACUCCUUACCAGAUUAUCGGCAUUGUUCUCAAUUCCUCCAGACUGUAAAAUUGUUCAUGUUACAAGAAAUCCAAAGGACAGUCUCGUUUCCCUUUGACAUUUCACACAGAAAGCAACUAAAUUUCAUGAAGAUCCAUGGACAUUAGAGGCUGCUGUUGAUCAGUUCCAUGAUGGGAGUUGUACUUUUCGAUCAUGUUUUGGCAGCAGGUAAGAAAGCCUUAAAAAGCCAUCUAAAGUGUUGUUUGUCACUUUCGAGGAACUUAAGGAAGAUAGAAAUUAGAAACAAGCAAGUGAAAAGAUUGGCUGAAUUCUUAGGGUGACCAUUUCAAGAUGAGAGAAUGAAGAAAAGUAGUCGAAGAAAUGACAAAAAGUUGUAGCUUUGAAACAUUGAGUAAGCACGAGAUUAACAAGUCUAGCGUGAUGUAAAUGUGUUUUCCAUUGCCAUAUUAUUCAUUUUUCAUACACAAGUUUGCGAGCUACAAGGUUCACCAUAUUGGGAGCAAAGUGAUAUCAUUCAAAAUAGCACAUUGCGAUGGACUCAACCACCUUCAGGGUGAAAAAUUAUUGAGGCGUCGAGAGCUUGAUAUAACUACAGAUUCACGAUGAUCCCACCUAAGUCAAUAAAAUCGUCCUCAAUUUGGAAUGUAGCAUCUAAUUCAAUUUAAAUGGAGUAGAAUUAUACCUUAAUAUGUUCAAUAAAUUACUCGCUUAAGAAUAUCAAUUUUAAAUUCAACUGUUUGAGUCAAUUAAUUGAGUCUAGAAGUUUCUUUGUAAAAGGUCAAACGUGCCAAUACCUGUUCAAAAACUGCCCAAUUUCCUCACCUUUUCGCAUUCUCCGUAGUCGACUGAUCGGUACUCCAGUAUAAACACAUUAGUUACUACAUUUUUUAUUUAUAGAAAAAAAUAAGAUUCUGAAGCAUUUGACCUCGGAUUUCUUGGCUUCUGUCUCUCCAGAAUCAUCUAUCUCCGUAAGCUCGAUAUUUUAUUUACUUCUUGUUGUUGACCAAUUUAUAUCUCGCUUAUAUUUUAAUUCUCCUUUUUUCGCGAAUAUGUAAGUUAAAAUCAGUGUUAGAAUCGUAUAACCUAUUGUGAGUUAAUUUACUUGAUGAAUGAAUGGAAUUUUUUCUUCCUCUUUACCUCUAGAAUGAUUAUCAGUUGCUUGAUUUUAAAGAAAUUGAAUAUUUUAGAAAUUUCAUGACUGCAUUUUCUGUCCUUUUUAUUUUUUAUUUUUAACCAUAUGCUUUUGUUUCCAUCUUAUAUUUUGAAUUAGAGUCGCAGCUUCCAGAAAAAUUCCGUCCGUUAUCAUUUCAGCUCCGUAAUAAUGUAUCACAAAGAGAGAAUAAUUUUGAUUUAUCUGAUGGUGAUGACCCUAUAUUUUUUUACUCAAUUCCUCUUUUUUUUUCUUAUAUAGUUUGUCUUCGUUCAUUGGUGACAAUUUCCAUUAUUUACUUAAGAAUGAGAUUUUCAAUUAUUCUGAUUGUUUGCGUUUCUUGUUUUUACUGGUGCAAGUAUAUUAUGGUGCCUAUCUUAGUGUCUGCAAAAUAAGAAAGGGCAUUUCGUUUCUCAAUUUCUUGGAAAGAAAGAAUGCUGCUUCACGAGGCUACUUUUACUUCCGCGAGCUUGGGGUCCUCAUUUAUUUUCAUUAGUUUCGACAAUUAUUGAGGAUACUCAAAAGAGGAAAUUGUUUGAGGCAUUGACGUAGGUUGAUGCUGUUGAUCAUUUGAUCAUGGGUGCUGUUUGUUGCUGUUUGAGGGAUGAAUGUGAAGAUUUUGCUCAUUCGAACAGCUCUAUCUGUGGGAACUUUAUAUGCAUUCGUUUCUUCGUUGAAAACUUCUUACAUGUGGUAUGCUUUAAAUUAUUAACUGUCUACUUAAGUAUUUUGAGUGGAUGAUAAAUUCAGUUUUGAGCUACAGAUCUUUAUGCAUUAUAAAUUUGUGAUCUGAGCACGUAAUUUUAGAUGUUCUAAUGGGAUUACAAAUCAUUAAACUUUCCUAAAGUUUGUCUAUGCAUUAUCUCAAUUUUUUGAACUGAAAGAAUCGAAAUUGAUUUCUGCUUACAAAACUGUCCAUAAUAUGGAUAGUUAUCAAUGACUUCUCAAUAAGCUCAAUGAGUUCAAGAGUUUCAAAAUCUAUGUAUGUUUAGAGUUAUGGUGCUGUCGAACUUGUACAUGUGAAUCCAUAUGAUUUACUAGCCUGAAAAUGAAAAUAAUACCGAUUGAGUGGAAAAGUUCACAAUGAACAUUUCAAUUGAAUUACUUGACCUGCCCAAACCCUAUUGGGGAAGCUUCAGUUUAGGGUUCUUGUUGGGUUAACUGGACAAUUUCCCGUACACUAUACUGACGUAAAUUGUUGUAUUGCUAAAAUUUCAUGAAUGUCAACAAAUUUGCAUUGCCAUCUGCUUAUGGAAUGUUCUGCAUUUUGCAGUAUACAUCAUUGUUUCAUAGAGAAGAACAACAGGAAAUAGCUUUGUCCACUCAGGGGACAACAUCUUUGAGUUCUGCAACGUUACCUGAUACUUCUCUAGUGGAUAUGUACCAUGCUCCUCCAAGACCUCUGCCUUAUGAUGCGGAUCCCAGAUAUUUUCACUUGCAGCAGGGUCGAUUGGUCUCUGGACGUGAGAAAGGCUCAGGUCAUUCGCACGAGGAAACUGAACCCCUUAGGAGAAGAGAAGUCAAUGAAGAGUCAGAAUCUUUGAGUGGCACGAACAAACUGAAAGAUUUCACAUGCGAAGAAGGAUCAAAAGAAUGCGAUUUGAAAUCAAAACCAAGACUCUCAAUAACUAAUACAACGGCAGAAUUUGCCCUUAUACACACUUCUUUAGAGGAUGAAGAUGUCUGCCCCACAUGUCUUGAAGGUAAGAAUAUAGCAUUUUUAGUUUUCUCGAGUUUCCUCAUUGUAUUUGUUCAUUAUAUAUAAGGAAUCUGAUUUUUUUUGGUAUUACUUAGGAAUACACAUCUACCAUUUUCAUAAAUAUUUAGAGUCAAAUAUUAUCCUUUUACUGAUCUGUGAUUCUGGUGCUAAGAGUGUGGAACUAGAGUGUUUGACUGGGAUAGCCUAAAGUUGCAUCGAAAAAGAAAAAUGUGAUUCUGGGUUAUGGAAUUUUGAAAAAUCUGAAUUUUGGAGUUCCCUCUGCAGCACCCAAAAUUUUUCUGCACUUAUUUACUUGAGUUGAUGACUGCUGCUCCAAUAUGCAAUUCAUAGUUUAAAAUAUCUUGGAUUCUGAUUUUACUUACCUUUGAUUCAAUGCAUCUUUUCCGUGCAGAGUAUACUACGGAAAACCCAAAGAUAAUUACAAAAUGUUUUCAUCAUUUCCAUCUUGGCUGUAUAUAUGAGUGGAUGGAAAGAAGUGAUAACUGUCCAGUUUGUGGCAAGGUAAUAUCUGAUCAUUCCUAGUAUUUUCUCUGUCUGCUUAAUCUUUAAGAUUAUAAUUUCCCUAUCCGCAUUCUUAAUUUUGUAUGACUUUUCCCUGUGUAUGCUGAGCAUCAAUGGGGGAGGUUAUAAUAUCUUCACAUGAGAAGCUUUUAUCUCUAAUUGGAAAUUGCAUAUUUUCCUCUGUUCAGUUAUUGUAUUGCUUUCUCACCCCCUCUUUCCAAAAUUGCUUGUAUGAUUUAGUGGCUAGUACACAACUUAUGCGACCAAUGUAUCCUGUAUGUCCAACAUCAGUAAUAUUAGUUGCUUACUGGUCACAAAGUGAAGCAAAAUCUCUUUCUAAUGGCUAUUGCCUGAUGAAUUGGCUUCUUGUCCCUCUUUUCCUUGGGCUUUUGGGAAGAUCAGAACUUAAUGGUCGUCCUGCAGCCUUGGGUUCUUUUUUGCUGCUCCAGUUAAAGGAAAACCACACUGGCAGGAAAUUUAGACUCUUUACAGCAGUUUGAUGUUCAAUAAAGGAACUAUAUUUAAAUAUAAGAUGUGAUAAAUUCAACUGAAGCUGGUCCAAGAAAAUCAUGCCUGGCUAGACGGAAAAUUAUGCUCUUGGCAAUGAUGUUUUUUUGUCUCUUCACAUUAUAUAACUUGUAGUUUAUCUCUACAGAGUGGGUGGGGAGUGGACUAGAUAUGUUCUGUUUUUUCAUGACCUCCUUUUCUUCUAAUUCUGUUUUAUCGUGACCUUGACUAUCCCAUACAGAAAAUCUAAAUAUUGAAAUAAGAUAAUUAUCUUGACAGUGAGGGAGGAGUUGUUUUCAAAUUAAUCAAGUGAUCUUUUUUACUUGAAUAAUGAGAAAAGUAACUUGGCCAAAGAUGUUUAAACAAGGAGUUACACUUAGUGCUUGUUUGUGCCCCAUUAUUUGUGAGUAAUGUAUUAUGGAAUAGCGAUUGAUGUUGAAAUGUGUGGUUAAAAAAGAAGGAAAUUUUUUAAAUUUAUGUGUAAUAUUAUUUUAAUGAAAAAUGUUUGGUUGAAAAUGAGUACGGUAGAAAAAAUAAUGUAGUAGAAUGUGGAAAGAUGGUAGACAAACAAAGUCUUAAUUUGAAGCUUAGUCAAAUAUGCCAGGAAACUAGCUGGGUUUGAUUGUUAUCAUCCGAAAUGGACAUAAGUGUUUCGUCCUGUGGUUAAUUUUGUUUUGUUUGCUUUCCAGGAGAUGGCAUUCGAUGAGACGACGUGAUCUUUCUGAAAAGUUCUAGUCGUGUAUGAAACCAACAUCUAACUGAAAAGGAAAUAAAGAACAGGAAUCAAACAUGAAAAGUUAUACAUCACUCAAGCAUAUUAUUGUCCCAAAUAAUCAGUACAUUAUAAUUUCUUUCUACUACUUGCUGCGUCUGUAUAUUAAUUAUCACACAGAAUUUUGCUCACACUUCUCUUGAUGAAGUGCGAUCUUGUAUAUAUAUACUUUCCAUUCUUUCACUAGUGGAUUUCUUUUUUUUUUUUUUUUUUUUUUUCANNNNNNNNNNNNNNNNNNNNNNNNNNNNNNNNNNNNNNNNNNNNNNNNNNNNNNNNNNNNNNNNNNNNNNNNNNNNNUCAAGCCGAGCCGGGCCGGGCCGGCUCGGGUUUUUUAUUUUUUUUUUUUCCAUUUUUUUCCUUUUGGUUUUUUUUUUUUUUUUUUUUUUUUUUUUCAACUAGGUGAAUGAAUCCCCAUUAUGUUGAUUGUUCGACUGAUUUUAUAUCUGAAGCCUGAAGGUGAAUUUACUGGCAGUGUAUUUAAAUUUUGGUUGCUUUGAGAUUGUUUGUUUCAUUUAUAGUAGAGUUUUUGGGUCAUUAAUCUAGAGGGAAGAUCCACGUAUACGAGCACAAGGAAGCCAUAGCAAAUGUAAUGUUACUAUGUUGAAACCUUAAAUGUCAAUUGAGCAACACCUCCAAAUGUCAUUAAUUUGAUCAUUUAUUCCUACACUUAGCCAUACAUGGAUUCAAAUGGACAACUUCUAGACUAAGCACUUACUAAGAAAGAGGAAAAGAAAGACGGAAAAUCUUGUUUAUUAUACUGUAAAACUCCUCUGCAACAAACAUGCACUAACUACUACGUAUUUGGUGUUGUAAACUUUUCCUUUAACCUUAUAAAAUGCGUCAGCAACUUGUUGCUAUCAGGAAGACUUUCCUUUUAUCAUUGGUUCUUCCUCAAAGUUCACAGUCCAUUCGCGUAAUUGAGGCGAAUUACUAGGUUCCAGAAUUUGUAUGCCCACAACUUCUGGAAUGCAUCCAAACCAGUGAACGAUACAGCCAAAUGACGAGUCCGGUAAUCCAAUUUUGUUCCCUCCAAAAAUUUUCUCAUCUCCUAAAGCCUGAUCUUGGUGAUUUUUUUAUUUUUUAUUGCGACGAUUUAAAUGGAAAGAAAAUAAAGAUUUUCAACACCAACUCGAUACUGGUGUUAAAUUAUCUCAACCUCAAGGAUAAGUCAAUGCAUGUUUGUAGGAUAUACAAACAAUAGCAUUGAGUAGAAUAGCAUUUUUGUUGCAAAUGCGAAACGCACAAAAAUAGGAUUAAUGAUAAUAGUAUUUCAAUAAUAAUUCAAAGACCAAAGAGACAAUAAUUAUGUACGGAAUGGAAACAAAUGAAAUGCAAACGAGAACAUUUGAAAACAUCAUUUGAACAGAGGUAGACAAUAUGAACACAUACAAAUAUUCGUUUUCAAUCCAAUAUAGAUAAUAUGUUUGUGCAAAAGUUUCACUUAUUACCAAUGUUACAACAACUCGGGUUUAAUCGCACCUUAUUUUUCUAAUGACAUUAAUACCAUCUGCACAGACAAUGAGAUAACAAGAUAAAUUUAAGAAGAAUAGAACGAAAAAAGAAACAAGCCAUCCAUGUGGUCGAACUGAAGGACUCCCCCAUAGUUGAUCAGAAAACAACAUUUUAUUUGCUUGCAGCUGUUUGAAAAGUUCUCAGGAAGGUUUCCGGUGGUUGGCCUCCACUCAAUUGGUGCUUUCCAUUUAUCUGUUGCAAAAAUAGGUUCGUUUAGAAUCUAUAGUUUGCACAAAUAUUUUCAUUGUUGGAAGUGAUUUUUCCUCAACUUACCACGUAAUAUGGGACUCCGCUUAUAUUUGCUGAGUACUUCUGAAGUUCCUCGUUAACCUUCACGAAAAGGUAAUUUUUUGCUGGUCACAUUAAUUAGAUUAAGUAUGCUAACUUUUUAGCCCUGUGUCUACCAUUAUUCAAUGAAAAUGAGUUUGGAAUAGAUAGUUUUUGGAAAAUGUGAAAAAAAAAAAAUGUUUUGAGUUUUCUUGCAAAAUAUUUUAUCGUGAGAAUGUGUGGUUGAACAUGAAUUUGACAAAAAAAGAGCUAUGAAAUAAUGAUAGACAAACAGGACCAACAGGAAAAAGCUAAAAUCCAAUCACAAUGUUUAAUCUUGGAAUCAUAGAUAUCACUACCCUACUUUCCAUAACCUUGUUCUAGAUCACAAAGGACUGGAACAAAUUAAAAGAAAGAACAAACAAACAAACUAUGCCCCCGUUUGGCCCCCAUUAUUUGGUAUUAUAAUUUUUGGAACAAUUUUCUUUAGGAGAAUGGGUGGUUGAAAAAUGAGGAAAUUUUUUUUAUUUACAUGUAAUAUCAUUUUAUGAAAGAUUGUGUGGUUGGAAAUAAAAGUGAGAAACUAUAAUAUGAAAUAAUAGGUGCCAAAAUGGAGCAAUAUUCAUAGCUUUUUGAUGAAUACGAUUUCUUGUUUUGAAGACAAACCUCCUUCAGUCCAUUGUUUGGAUCUUCAAGAAACUCUGCUGCCCCUUCCAGUCCUACCUUUCUUGCAGACUCCACAAGAAAUUGCCUUAAGAUGUGAUGAGACAAUGGUAAUCAAGUUAAUCUCCAACAAUAUGAAACAAUAAAAGCUUCGAUUGACAUUGAACUCCAGAAAGAAAUUUAGCUACUCUACUGACCUGUCACCUAUAUACUUUCCCUGUGUGAAGUAACCAAGGCAAAGUUCUUCAACAAGUGCAUGUUGCUUAUCUGGCCCUUGUUGUCCAGCGAAAUAUAUUAACCUAUGGCUAUCCAGAGUAUUUCCCCUGCACAUCCGAGACCCAAUCAGUGGCAUCUAAAAAUGAACUUCCCUUCUAUCAAGUUUAGUGUACUAGACUAGACAGUAUCAGAUAGAAUUAAGUAAGAAAAAGAAGUAAUAAUCUUCUUUGUCGUGUGCAACAUUGUUUAGUACCGAGUACCAAACAUGGCCUUCACGUUACAACUGUAAAAUCGCAAUUUGCUUUGUGCCAAAAGUCAUAAACAGAGUGUGGGAAGUGAAAAACCACCAUCUUCUUUAACUCAAUACUCAAGGUGGCUCCAACCACUUAUUUUGUGAGUUUUAGCACCUCUGUAAGAUAUAGGAAGCGAUGCAUUAUCAAUUACUUGCCCAAAAAUAAUUUGAACUUACGUUAGUCCAUCCCUGUCGUAUUCCAUCCCAAAACCCUUAAAGAUCUGCAAAUCACAAUGUUUUGGAAUCAUAUUACUUGUAUGGAAGAGUUUAGAAGCAAAAUAAUUCUCUGACUGUUCAAGGAAAGGACUCAAGGAGAAGAAUAAACCUCACUCAUCCGAGACUCCAUUUGUUCAACUCGCGGUCCAAACCUAUUCCUGUAAUAGUCCUUCUUAACAACACCUUCCUUGGGCGCGGAAGGAUUAAGAAAAUAGGGGUGCCAUUUGAUCUGCAACAUCGAAAUUCUCACUAAUUAUGAUCUGAAGUUGGAAAUGCAUUGACAAUAAGAAAAAAAAUAAAACGAACCUCAAAAUUGUAUUGAUCAUUCGAUGAUGCUAUAGCUUUAUCGAGAUUCUUUUUCCCCACAAAGCACCAUGGGCAUACAGUGUCUGCACUGACAUCAAUUUGAAUAAGUUUCUUCGCAGGGCCGGCACUCGCUGAUUGGGCCAUGAAGCUGGAUCUGCAGUUAUUAGAACGUGUAAUUAAGCUACGUAACAUAGGAAAAUUAACAACUCUGCACAUCUUCAAAACCGAAAUUGGUUAACCUCAACCCUAAUAAAGCAUUCAAGUCUUUCUUCUUUGCCUGUAUCUUCUGAGCAAUUAAGCAAAUAAAAAUGGAUUAGGUUAUACCCUUUACCUGCACUACAAUUUAACAAAUUAUACUAAUUUAUGAUUUGGAUCAGUAUAUAGAUAAGGAAAUGCAAGAGCGGUUUCUUCUUCAGUGCACUUAUUUACUAAUUAAGCCGGCCCCCAUUUUGUCAAAAUGAAAAUGGGUAUAAUAGUAUUUUUUUGAAAAAUGAGUGGUUGAAAAAGAAUUUACAUGUGUAAUAAUGGAAUGAAAUGAAUGGGGUCAAACGGGUGCUAAAUUGAACAACAAAUCAUCACCAAAAAUUACAACUGCCUGAGGUUUACAUUCUUAUGGAGCGCUUCCACUGUCUUUUUAAGAUUAAAUCAACAUCUAGCAGCAGAUUAUCAAAAAUAGAAUUCUGAUAAACUAAUCAAUGAUUUGAUGAACAGAAAAAAAAAAUUUAUGAACAGAAAGUAACAUUAAUUUGAUUUAAGAGAACUAACCUGGGAAACUUUCGGAUCUGGAAUUGCUGGAGACAACUCAAUCGCAUAACAGUGUCAAUUCAAUCGCUUGUUUCUGCACGAUUUUGUUUUAGUCUAAAAUAUAUAUAUUUAGUUCAAAUUUGACUUUCCUAUUAAUCACCUUCUCCAUUUCAUACUGAAAAGUCAAAAUAAUAGUAUAAUAAGAAAGAAAUAAAAAAAACAAGAUUUCAUUUUUGUUGGAAUCUCAACGACCAACCAGACUGUUCAUACGUGCAGGCCUUUUUUAUUUUUCCUUUAAAAAAUACAACAUCUCUAUUGAAUUAAAGGUCACAAUAACUUUACAUGGUUCUAUAUGAUUCUCAUUCCAAGAGAUUUGAACCGAACCAUGAACUAAUAGUUUUUUUGAUAAUGAAACUGUUUCGCGCGGGUGGUCGCUAACAAUUAAAAAGGGAUCAGACAAUUGUGUAAGGAACAAACCUCUUGAAACAAAGUCCCAAAAAGGGGUGUUUUAUUGGCGAUGACUUUACAAUUGGAACUAAACAGAAUGCCUCCAAGGGGCGCAAGUACACGAGUACUCAAAAUAAAUGUUUAAUUCUAAACUAAGAAAUUGAAAUUACAUAUUCUCUAUUUGAGAGUGUUUGAUUCGGGGUCCUUUGCUCUAUGUCUUUUCUUCCUUUUAUAUUCCCUGAAUGAUCUCUUCGUGAUCAACCGUUUAGAAACCGCUUAAUUGCUUUAUAACUGCCCACUUUCUUCAUGGUGGCCAACUUAUUGUGGAACUGCCGUCUCUAACUACUGCCACUACUUUUUGUCGUUCAACCGUCUUCAACUGAACAUUCUUGAAUCGUGGAACGUGAUAAGAUUACUUAAUAACUGCUUCGAUAACUGCACUUUUGGAUAACCAUAACAUCUUAUGUUUGCUAAGAUCCUGGGCGAUUUGAAGGUUUGGGCGAGAAUAGGGUCAUAACCCUAGGCGACUACAAGGCACUUCAUUCGCUCAGAUCUUGAGCGUCUUGCAAGUUUGGGCGAUGCUGUUACCGCAUUCGUGGGCUUCCACUGCAUUCAUUAAUAACCCUAUUUGGGCCUUUAUCCUGAAUUGUCCAGUUGGACUUCAUUCUUUGGGCUAUUCGAUUUGGGCUGCACUUUUAGCGUGCCAACAAUUACCCCCCAAUAUGGCAGAAUUAAUACAAAUUAUUAAUUUUUGCCAUAUUCACUUUGUAUUUCCCAGCAACAUUUGAAAUUCUCAAGAAUUUCAAUCAUUAUUUUCUUCCAUAGCCUAAAAAGGCGCGAUGUUGCAAACCCUUAUAACCCCCAAAUACACGCCAUUUCAUCGUACUACUAAAUCACGCAUCAUUGUUUCGCGCUUCUCUCUCGCAAUAUUACUAUUCAUCUUCUUGCUUCUUUGCUACGUUUUUCAAGCAAACUUCAACAAAAGUUUGUUUCGUUCCCAAUGGCUGCUUCACAAUCCCAAUCUGGUGACUCUUUCAGUUUCGAAGACUUCCAGAAAAUCCUCACUCGGACAUAUAUAACUCUGAACUUCCUUGCACCAACCAAUGCCGAACUCAAUGAGUUCUAUCUAGGUCCUUCAUUCAACAACGCCGAGGUCGUCGAAUAAGUGGCGGUGGGCCAGCUGUUCCGUUGUACUCAAGGUCCUCCGUUUCUAAACUCUUUGUCGCUGAGGCCGCUUCGCAAAAGAGGUAUUCGCACUUGGCCUAAAUCUGAUGUUGUUUUCCGUAGAUGGCAUGCUCGCCUUGUGGGCCAUGGUCCUACCAAGGGAAUUUUUGAUAGUGCUAGGAUUUCUGAUUUGUUAGAAAUCUCUCUUCAACUCCCUCCUUUUGAUCCAGCGCUUUUCCCUAUUGCUUUAAGUUUUUGGUCCUCUGAGUAUAAUACUUUUGUUUUCCCCCUUGGUCCCAUGUCCAUUACUAUAAGGGAUGUUGGGGCCUUAGUAAAUCUGCCACCUUUAGGCGAUACCAUUUUCCCUGGUAUUUUGAUUUCUGGUGUCGCCCCAAAAUUUAACAGAAAACUCAUCGAGUCCUAUUCAAGCCUGCAAAGCUGUUAUAAUCACUCGAGCGCUAAGCCUUCUCAUGCUGAGCGUGUGGCCUUUCUUUAGAUUUGGCUUUGUAAAUAUAUUCUGUGUGUGCCAAGCAUGAAGCCUUCUAUGAGCUAUUUACCCAUAGCGCACGAAUUGGCGCGUGGUAGGCCUCUGAAUUUGUGUUCUUUCUUUUUAGCUGCCCUCUACUCUCUCCAAUUCCAAUUGAAGAAUGAUGCAUCUCCCACUGGCAGUUGGCCUCUUUGGUUCACUCAAAUGUGGUUGAGAGCCUAUUUUUCAUCACUUGGUGCUCUAUCAUUUUCCCUUCAUUCUGCUAGCUGCUAUGGGCUAACUAUUGAUCCACUGAGCCCUGUAAAUAUGUUCAGAAGGGACAUCUUUUCAUUCUUUUAUACUUUGAAUUCAAUUCCUUCUUUCUUUCCUUUUCCUCCCCUUUUAACUCCUGAUUAUGUGCAACUCCUAUCCACCUUGGAUAGUGCGAGCAUCUCUCUACUCGUUUGGGUUUAGUUUUUGACCAGGAGGAAGUUGUUCCAUGAUAUUUUAACUGGAACUAAUGCCAAAGUUGGGGUUGAAAUAUAUGCUCCUCAAUUUUUUGCUCGUCAACUUGGUUUUGGCCAAACUUGGCCUGUUCCCCCUUGUUAUUCAAGAAAUUUGAUAGAUCGCUUCUACACCAUUAAUAAGGCAUAAGCAGAAGCUAUAGAUACUCGCAAUAUUCUUUUGACGAGUAACUUUUCAUUAGCCCCGUUCAAUCCUAGCCAUGCCAUCCAUCCCCUUUUUGAACAACUCUGGCCAUCAGUGAAGCGUAGAUUGUUUGCAACUGAUGCCAAUCGUGCUUUCCAUUCACUGGACCAGCCAGACAUUUCUUCCACUUCUCCUGUUUUGGUCAUCCCUGUGUCCAUUAGGAGUCCUUCCUCUUCUGCUCGUGCUAAACAGUCUGUUCGUCCGUCUACUUCUCUUCCUAUCAGCAUCUCCCAUUUUGGAGGAUGAUGAUGACGACGACGAUGAUGACGACGAUGACACUCCUCUCAUCGUCAGGAGAAAGGUAAUUAAAUUAGUUUACUCACAAGCAUACCUUUCUAUACUUGAAACUUUUCUAUAUGCUGAUGAUUUAUUCGGAUUUCUCAGAAAAGUUCAACCUCUCCUUUAAAGGCUUUGGUGUUGGCAGCUCAUACUCUAUCAUCCUCUGCUGAGGCUACUUCAUCCAAACCAGCUGAUGAAGGGACUAUGCUUAAAGAGAAACCUUCAGUCCCAGAAUCCUCAUCACAACUAAUGGAUGAGCCAUUUUCUUCCCAGGGCGUCAACCCCCCAAACGUCGAACCAUAAGGUAAUACAUUUUUUGAUGUUUUACCUUUGCUUGUACUAUUGGUUUUUGAUUUGUUGCUUUUUGAGUUCUGCAGAUGCUCCCAUGGGUUUGCCCGUUGUGACAAAGUCUUCUCGCCCAGACAAAAGGAAGUCUUCACAAGUGGUGGAGCCACAGGUGGUAAACUUGGCUGGGGAUAUGCCACCUCCCAAGAUUACUGAUGAGGUAAUCUUUACUUCACUUUUACUUCCACUUUGUUUAUUGUAGUGAAAACCUUCAAUGUUGGGAGUUUUCUUUGCAGGAUGCUGAUAAGAUUGUGCGUUCCAUCCAGGAUUUGUCCACUUCCUGGGGGCAAGUCAAGACGUCUUGCCCUGCUUCAACCAGUCGUCCUUCAGCUUCUUUAGAGGAAAAUAUGAAGUUCCUCAAGCAGUCGAUAUUUGAGUAUGUGUCCUUUAUGGAUAUAGACAUCGGUCAGGCUAGUGCUGCCAAACAUAAAGAUAAGCUUGAGCAUUUGAGUGCGAAGUUGGCACAAGCACUGAUACUUCCGUCGCUCAAUCUUUCUGCUGAUUUUAAAGCGACGUUGAAAGUUGUCCAUUCCGAUAUUCUCUCCUUGCUGACCAAAAAUGUUGGACUGAAAGCCAAAAGUACUCAAUAUUUUCGCGCUGUAUCUGAAAGAGAGUCUUUGCUUCUGGAGAUCAACAAAGCUGAGGACGAAUUGAAAGAAAUCUCUUCUGAAGUUAUGAUUGAAGACUCUUUGAUGACCAGUUUGGCUGCACAGAUGAAGGAGCUUCAAGCAAGGAUGGAUGACUGCAAGACGAGAAUUGCUGCUAAAAAACGUAAUGCCUCCCAAGAAAUUGAGCGAACCAAGUCUUUGGUCGAGCAGUACAAGAAGUUGGAGGUUGAUGAUGAUUUUGUGGCUGAAUUGAACGUCACUUCUUCUCAGCAGAGCGAGGAUUGGGGGAGACUUAGGGAAAUAAUUCGUUCAGUCUGGGGCGAAUUGUAAUUAAGACAUCUAAUGCCUUAACUUUUCUUUUUGUAACUUCCUAUUAACUUUUCCCUUGUAACCUCGUACUGAUGUUCAUUGGUAAUUCUGAACAUACCAGCAGUCAUUAUCAUUAAUGAACGAUUAAUUUGUCUUCUUGUGUAUUUAUUGACUUGUCUUUAAUCAUCAAUCCCCAAAACAUUUAACUGCUUUAUGCUAAGAUUCACGCACAUUUUCUUUUGUUAUUUCUGUCUCUUUUCCCAAGACUUCGGGCCAUUUGAUUAUAGUUACUAUGCACAAAUGUGGCUGUUCAUAUUCUGUCUCUUCAUCUUCACGCCUCUAUAAAUGCACUUAUAUUCCACACUUGUCAUUUUCAUUUCCAUUCUCUUCUUCAAAACCAAUUUGCUGCCAUUGUUUGGCAUUUUGACAAUCGAUCCAAAACCUUCAUUUUCCAUAGAAAUGGAUCAUUUGAUCCGCUCAUUUUGCUAUCUUUUUUGAUAUUACCUUUGGUAUGGGAGAUAUAGGAAAUAUUCUUUGGUCAGCAAAGUUCUUCCCAUCGUCUCCAUGUUCCUUAUAAGGAGUUCGAUAAUGGAAGAUAAUUUUUGAGGAUGCCUGCAAGCCACCUUACUUGCUGAGAGUGCUUCUCAGCCUCCUUGCCCAUUAUUGCAGCGAUGCAUUUAAGAAGGCGAUGUGAGGGUGCUUCUUCUUCCUUUCUGCUUGCUGAGAGUGCUUCUUAGCCUUUCUGCUUGCCUUUGUAGCUGUGCGAUCAGGAUGGCAAUCCAGGCCAGUUCACCCUCUUACUCGACGAUCGACCGGGAGAUUAGUUUGCUCUUAAUUGUAGCUUAUAGAGCAUUUAGUACUUUGUAUUUUGCAACUUUGUAAUGAACGUUUGAAAAUAAAGAAAUUUAUUUGAACGUAUUUCGCUCUGGCUUUUUUUUUUUUUUUUUUUUUUUUUUUUUUUUNNNNNNNNNNNNNNNNNNNNNNNNNNNNNNNNNNNNNNNNNNNNNNNNNNNNNNNNNNNNNNNNNNNNNNNNNNNNNNNNNNNNNNNNNNNNNNAAAUAUUUGCCAUUAAUGAACCUCAUGUGCUUGGUGCCAUUUAAAUCUUCCAAAUGAUAGGCUCCAUUAGGCAAUACAUUUAAUUACUUUAUAUGGUCCUUCCCAAUUGGACGACCACUUGCCAUACUUUGGAUCUUUGCUAUCCAAAGGGAGUAUUGUUUUCCAAACCAAUUCGCCCAGGCUGAACGAUUUGGCUAUAACUUUUUUAUUAUAAAAUUUAGCCAUUCUUUGUUUUUGAAUUUGCAAUCUAUUUAGGACGUCCAACUCUAACUCGUCCAACUCCAAUAAGUUUUGAACUAGUGAUUCGGUAUACUCAUCAUCACUUAACUUAUGUUGCAAACACACUCUGAUCAAUUGCACGUUAAUUUCCAUAAGCAAAACGGCCUCCUGUCCAUAAGUAAGUUGGAAAUGAGUAUUUUGGUACUUGACCGAGGUGACGUCCUAUAAGCCCAUAAGGCCUUGUUUAGACAUUCGUGCCAAUUUCUGGCAUUUUCAUCUAUCAUUUUCCUUAUGAUAUUUUUUAGAAUCUUAUUAGAAGAUUCUGCAAGUCCGUUGGAUUGAGCGUAAUAUGGUGUAGAUUUUACUAAUUUAACUCCAAACUCGCUCAAGAAUUUAUUCACUUGAUCCCCAUUUAAAGAUGUUCCGUGAUCUACCAUUAAAGUUUGUGAAAUUUCAAAUCUAUAAAUAAUGUGAUCACGGAUAAAUUCUAUGACAUUCUUUUGGGUGACCUCCUUUAAAGGUAUCGCUUCUACCCACUUAGUGAAAUAAUCAGUUGCAACUAUAACAAAUGUAUGUUGUUUGAACGAUGGGGGAUGAAUCUUCCUUAUCAGGUCUAUCGCCCAACCCUUAAACGACCAAGGUUUGAUAAUAGGUGCCAUCUCUCGUGCUGGUGCCCUUUGUAUUGGACCAUGCUUUUGACAUGCUAGACAACUCUUUGCAUACUGAACGCAUGAUUCUCCCAUCUUUGGCAAAAAAAUAUCCAUUCCUGAUAAUUAACUAUCUCAUCCUUUGGCCAGUUUGAUGAGCUCCACAUAUCACUUCGUGUACUUCAGCCAUGAUCGUCUUGACUUCUUGCAAACUUACACAUUUUAGCAAUAUAUCAUCAGAGCGUUUCUCAAACAACUCUUCAUCUAUCAGUGUAUAGUUUAGCAAACGCAACUUCAUUUUUUUACUAUUUCCUAUAUUAGGUUCUUUAAGGAACCUUUUAAUCUCUGCCCUCCAAUCUAUUGCAUUUCUAUCUUGUAUGUAAUGAAUUUUAAUCGUUCUCGCCCUUCUUUGGACCACGGGCAAUAUUGUUCCACACUCAUAAAUAGACUUUCAAUUUAAAACCUUUGAGUACCCCGAGGCCAUCUGGGCCAAUUCGUUUGCUACGUCAUUAUAUAUCCUAUUAACACAUUGAAGUUCUAUUUGGUCGAAUUCUUCCAACAACUCUUGGGCGAUUUCAUACUGACUUAUAAUGAAAUCACUUUGGCAUUUAAAAUCACCAAUCAAUUGGUGAAUUACCAAUUGAGAAUCGUCUCUAACGAUCACAUUCUUUACCCCCAUAUCUAUCAUUAAUUCUAGGCCCACGAUUAAGGCUUCGUAUUCGGCCUGAUUGUUGGUGCACAUCCUAUCCAAAGUGAAUGUGAACUUGUAACAAAUCCCUAAAGGAUUUAUUAAUGCUACUCCUACUCCUGCACCUUUAGAGGUUUUCGAUCCAUCGAAAUAUAAAACCCAAGGUUUUAAUUCGAAUGAAUUGAUCUCUAACUCAAUUUCUUCAGGCAUAUCAAGGCAUGGAUGAUCGGCUAGAAAGUUAGCCAAAGCUUGAUUUUUGACUGCCUUUUGGGGUAUGUAUUGUACUUCGAAUUCUAAUAAAGCUAAUGUCCAAAGACCUACCCUUUGGUGCAAAAUAGGGCGAGAGAACAUAUACCUAACUAAAUUUACUUUAGAAAUUAAAUAAAUGGUUACGGGCCGUAAAUAAGCCCUUAAUUUUGUACAUGUGAAAUACAAUACAAGACAUAAUUUUUCAAUGGCAGAAUAAUUAUAUUCACAUUUUGUUAACCGUCUACUCAAGUAGUAAAUCAUCCUUUCUUCACCAAAUUGGUCUUCCUGCGCGACCAUUCCAGCUAUUGAUUCUUUUUCAGUCGAUACAUACACUUUCAUUGGCCGUCCUUGGAUUGGUGACACCAACACUGGUGGACUUGAUAAAUAUGUCUUUAAACUUUCAAAAGCCUUUUGAUGCUCUUCUUUCUAGACGAAUUCGUCCUGAUUUUUCAACUUUAAAAGUGGCAAAAAAGCUUUAGUUCACCCUGCACAAUUAGAAAUAAAGCGUCUUAAAAAGUUCACCCUGCACAAUUAGAAACCUUUGCAAUUCUUUUUUGUUACUAGGUGGUUUGGCUUCUAAAAUGGCCUUCACUUUAUUUUUAUCAAGUUCAAUCCCCCUUUUGUGUACUAAGAAAUCAAGAAAAUUCCCUGCAUUAACACCAAAUGCACAUUUCAAGGGAUUUAACUUUAGUUUAUAUUACUUCAUUCGCUCAAAUGAACAUCUUAAUUGUUCAAAAUGGUCGUCUUCUUUAAUGGAUUUGACCACUAUAUUAUCUAAAUACACUUCAACAAACUUGCCUAUCAUAUCAUGAAAAAUCAAAUUCAUUGCCCUUUGAUAAGUUGCUCCUGCAUUUUUCAGGCCGAAAGGAAUAACUACCCAUUCAAAAUAUCCUAGAGACCUAGGGCAUCUAAAGGCAGUUUUGUGUAUAUCUUCCUCAACUAUAUAAAUUUGAUUGUAUCCUGAAUAUCCAUCCAUGAAGAAAUACAUUACAUGUCCGGCAGUCGAGUCUACUAAAGAAUCUACCAUGGGCAUUGGAUAUUCAUAUUUAGGUGUGGCUAUGUUUAGAUUCCUAAAGUCUAUGCACACCCUUAGUUUACCAUUCUUUUUUAAUACCGGCACGAUAUUGGACAACCAUUCAACAUAUCUGGCCGUUCUAAUAAAGCCUGCUUUUAAUAAUCGUUCUAUCUCUUCCUUAAUUUUAGGGAGUACAUUAGGAGCGAAACGCCUAGGAGGUUGCCUAUGAGGUUUAAAAUUUGGCUUGGUUGGUAAUCUAUGUUCCACCAAAUCUCUAUCUAAACCAGACAUUUGUUCAUAUUCCCAAGCAAAACAAGCUUUGUACUCCUUUAAUAAAGCGAUUAAUUUAUCACUAACCUCUUGAUCGAGCAUUUGGCUGAUGAACGUUGGGCAAUCUUCUCCUUCAUUGCCAAUAUUUACUUUAAUCAGGGGGUCUUGUGCUUGAGCGUAUCCAGGCUUGGCGAUCCUUAUCACUUCGUUGUCCAGUUCCCUUGUAGGCACUUUUUCUUCUAAACAAUCCACCUUGUUGACUUCUCGACCAAUACUUUGUUCCAACUCGAACAUUGCCAAUUUGUCUCUUAGUGCUUUCAAGGCUACUUCUUCUUUCGUCUUGUCCUUGCAUUCUUUAUUGAAAGCCAUUAAUUUGGUUUUGAAGGCCUGAAUAUCGGCCAUUUGCCUUUGUUGCUUACAACUCAUUUAAAACUCAUUGAUUACUCUUUUGCCACUCUUUUGCCAAUUACUGGCUCUUCUAGGGCCACUAUAUUUGGCCUUAUCUGACUGAACAUUUCAGUGAGUGCAUCCACCGAAAACGGUUCUUCACUCUGCGCAACAAUUUGAGUUUCUUCUCCAUCUUGAACUACUCUGACAGGUCCAUAAUUUCCUUCGUACAUGAACGUUUCUACUGAGUUUGCUUCUGCGACAAAAGGUCUAUGAUCGGCCUGCACCACUUCUGCUUCGCCUUUGUCAUUCCAAAAAGACCAGGCAUUGAUGGAGCGAUGAGGGUAUACAGCGGCUUCCGUGUAUCCAAUCUCUUCCUAAUAACACAUUGUAACUAGUGGGACCAUCUAUUACAAAGAAGACUGUGGUCCUAGUAGUUGUUCCUAUAGUUAUGUCCAAUGGCAUAACCCCUUUAGUUGAAGUUACUCCUCCAUUGAAACUUGUCAGGAUGACUUCUGUUGGGAUCAUAUCACCUUCCGUCUUUGCGAAUUUCCUCAUCAUCCUAGAUGAAAUGGUGUUUAUAGCUACUUCAUUAUCGACAAGCACUUUUGCCACAAGUAUGCCGUUAACUAGAGUUUUAACGUACAAUGAUCUCAAGUGUUUGGUCAAUUUCAUGGCUGGUCGCUUAAAAAUAACCUUUUUGGCAACAUCUAUUUCCACUUCCCGCUUGUCCUUUGUCGAGUUACCCUUUUGUGAUAAGUCAACGUGCAGCAUAUCGCACUGAGCCUCUACCUCCUGAAUUUCCUUUUUACCGUUUUCUAAUGCUUCUUCUUUAGUUACCUAACCUGUGGGAGGAGGCAUUAUUCUUGGAGGUGAUCCAUACUUUUCAGAGCGAGGCACUCUCUUCUUUUUUUUGGGUGUCCCGUACAGCACGUAAUAAUCGAAAGAACGCCCAGAUGGUUCUCCCAAUAAGUCUACUUCACGAACUCUCUCUCGAUGUAGUUGCUUCAACAGAGUAUUGUACGAUACUCCUCUUCUUCUCCUUUCCGCUUCCAGAUUGAUUUCCUCUUCGAUGUCUAUCAUACCAUCAUCUUCUUCACCAUUGUAGGCCUCUCUAGAAGUUUAGCCUUCUUCAUAUUCCAGCAUGCAUGCUUCUUCUUCGUUAUCCUCAUUUUCUUCUUCUCCUUUCUCUUUAUUCUUGAACUCAUUGGCUAGUAGAUAGUUAUUAGCCACGACAGGAGGUAACGUACCAAAUUGAAUAGUAAGGGGCUGAUCUAGAUCUUCUCCAUCCCUUCUGUCUCGCUCAAACUUCGACCUCCCAGAAGAAGUCUCUGACAAUUCUUCCAUAGGUUAGCCUGUACCAGUCUCUUCACUGUCUUUGAGAACAUUCUGAUUGGCUGCCUCGAGUAGUGUAGGUGCCUUAGGACGCAGCAUUCCCUAUUGUUGCCUCAUCGUUCGCCCGUAAUUCCGUUGAAAACGCCUUUGUUGGGUUCUAGUCAUCUCGUUGAAAGGUAUCGCCCUUCCAGCCUCAUACUGGAACGAAUGCCAUACAUUUGGUUGGCGAGGUUGUGGUCUGAAUGUUCUCCCAUUAUUUACUGGCUUGAACUACCUCUCAAAAGGCGGUCCCUUAUAGAACGAUGUACCCCACCCUCUACCAGACUGAGCGCUUGGGAAAAAACUAGGGUGAUGGUGAUGCUGCCAUAUCCAUGGUUUCUCUGCAUUUGCACUCACUUCUUUUUUGCAUCUUGCACAUAGGACGUCUUCGUCCUUUUUGGGCUCCUUCCAUUUGAUACGUUCAAAGACACUGGGAUGUGGUCCAGGGUCUUCUUCUCCAUCAUCUAUAAUCAAUUUGGAUUUUGGCAAUUUGUUUUUGAAACCAAACGUCACCAUGUUCACUCCAAGUGGCCGUGGAAAAGGAUUUUCAUCCACUGCCAUCUUCCUCUUAUCCUCGAACGUAAUUCGUCCUGAUUCAAUGACAUCCUGUAACACAUGACGAAAAACCAAACAGUUGUUAGUCAAAUGUGACCAUGCAUUAUGCUACUUACAAUAUUUUUUACCCUUAACUUGUUCAGGGCUUAGCAAUUUAUGUUUAUCGCUCAACUUUAUCUACUUCUCUUUAUAUAAUUUAUCAAAUAUAAGGUCAGCUUUGGUUACAUCGAACGAGAACGUUCUAGCCUUUAUGUUUUCAUCUUUUAUAGGCUCAUCCUUACCCGAGGUCUAGGCUUAGCCAUUAUAGGACAAGUAUAUGUGUCUCCUUUAACUAAUUCGGCCAAACACAUUUCGGUUUGAUCGUAAUACUCGUCAUUAAUGGUAUGAACAUCAAAAUUUAGGUCUCUAUAAUAAGUCCCCUUGCUAGAAUUUUUCAUUUGUUCUUCUUCUCUUAUUAAUUGUUCAUACGUAAUCACGUUCGCGCUCAAUUGGAAAAGAUUAGAAAAUUUCUUGUCUUGAAAUUUCUUUUUCAAAUCAAAGUUUAAGCAACCUUGAGCGAUUUUGACAAACACCUUUUCGAGUAAAGGUACAAAACAUUUACUUCUUGCCGUCUUGAACCUUUGAAGGAAACCUUCUGCCCAUUCGUUUGGCAUUUGACGUAGAUUAGCCAAAUUGGCCAAAGUAACUUCAAACUCAAUCUUAUAAAACUGAGCAUGGAACAAUUGCUCUAAUUGUUGUCAUGUUUGGACAGAGUUUGCUGACAAAUUGAUGAACCAGGAGAAGGCUACUCCUGUUAAUGAACCAGGGAACAGGCUCAUUUUAUGGUAAUCAGUUACGUCACCACUUUGUAGUGUGAAUCGCCCUAUGUGUUCUAGAGUAGACACCUCUCCUAAACCGGCAAACAGUGAGAAUUCUGGCACUUUAUAUCCUCUAGGCCAUGGAUAUGCUUGGUCUACCCAAUCAGGAUAUGGCUUUGUGUAAGUCGGCCUAAUGACAGGACGUACUCCAAAAGCCAUCUGGUCCUGUACGAUUUCCAUAAUCUGAUUCCUCAACAUGACGUUGGGGUCAUAUGUAAUUCCUACAGGUUGGUUGACCGGUUGAUUUACUUGAGGCCUGAUGUUUAGUCCAUGGUUGGGGUAUUCUGCCCAUUAUUAGCUUGAACAUUUAUUCCAUCAUUAACACAUGGGGUAUUCUGCCCAUUAUUUAGGACAUUAUCUCUUACAUUUAGAUUACCCCCCAAGUUAGGUGUACCAAUGCCACUAUUCUGAUUUGGUAUUACACCACCCCUGGUUUGAAGUAGAGGGGUCAAAAGGUGGUUCUACCCCUUGAUUUAAACUUAGGACUGGGGGAUUAUGUCCCACAAUUGUCCUAGUUUGAAAGUGGUUUGCAAGAGGCACAACUGGCUGACAAAUUUGGCCUACUAACUUAUUUAUUAUUUAGUUCAAAGUAUUCAGUUGUUUGGCCAUGUUGUCAUAAUUUGCAUUCCCAUUCUGGGUAAAUCUUUCCAUAUUAUUAAUAUUUCGUAGAUUUACCUGUUCAAUGACAUCUUGUGUGAGUUCUCCGAGUAAUGCACGCAUGGUUCGAGGACUCAACUCUGUCAUUAGUUCGUAACGACUAUGAUUACUCUGAUUCUAACCAUCUGUUCGUGGAGAGCUAUGCUGCUCCUCAUAUCACUCGAUCACAAACUGGACACCUCCCUGACUUACUACUUCCUUAUCAGAUUUCUGAGGCAUAUUGUUUCACCUUUUGUAUCUUCAACACCAAACACCAAUGUCCCACUGGGCGUGCCAAAUUGUUUCGCGCGGGUGGUCGCUAACAAUUAAAAAGGGAUCAGACGAUUGUAUAAGGAACAAACCUUUUGAGACAAAGUCCCAAAAAGGGGUGUUUUAUUGGCGAUGACUUUACAAUUGGAACUAAACAAAAUGCCUCCAAGGGGCGCAAGCACACGAGUACUGAAAAAAAAUGUUUAAGUCUAAACGAAGAAAUUGAAAUUACAUAUUCUCUGUUUGAGAGUGUUUGAUUUGAGGUCCUUUGCUCUAUGUCUUUUCUUCCUUUUAUAUUCCCUUGAUGAUGUCUUCGAUAUCAAUCGCUUAGAAAUCGCUUAAUUGCUUUAUAACUGCCCACUUUUUUCAUAGUGGCCAACUUAUCGUGGAACUGCCGUCUCUAACUGUUGCCACUACUCUUUGUCGUUCAACCGUCUUCAACUGAACAUCCUUGAAUCGUGGAACGUGAUAAGAUUAUUUAAUAACUGCUUCGAUAACUGCACUUUUGGAUAACCACAACAUCUUAUGUUUGCUAAGAUCCUGGGCGAUUCGAAGGUUUGGGCGAGAACAGGGUCAUAACCCUGGGCGACUGCAAGGCACUUCAUUCGCUCAGAUCUUGGGCGUUUUGCAAGUUUGGGCGAUGGUAUUACCGCAUUCGUGGGCUUCCAUUGCAUUCAUUAAUAACCCUAUUUGGGCCUUUAUCCUGAAUUGCCCAGUUGGGCUUCAUUCUUUGGGCUAUUCGAUUUGGGCUGCGCUUUUAGCGUGCCAACAGGAACCAAAUGAUUUUUUUAAAUAUAUAAAACCAAACUGAACCAAACCGUUCGGUUCUGGUUUGGUUUGGUUCUAAUUUCAUUUUUUGAAUUUUUAGAUUUGUAUCAUAUAAAUUAGUAAUAUAUAUCUAAAUAAGAAAAUAAACAUCAAACAUUUAGGAAGUUUAAAUUUCAAUCAUCGAGAUAAAAAAGUCAUAACUAACAAAAAAAAUAUAUUCAUAAUUUGAAUACACAAAUCAAUUUUCGUUUUCAUACAAAAAACUGUUUAAUAAGUGAUAAUAAUAAUUCACUAAAUUAAUUGUAAUAGUUUUGAAGGCACACCCCUACAAUAAAGAAUGAAUUAUCAAAAUUUUUACAGUCCACUUUUAUAGGCAACAUUAACAUUUUAAUAUUUCAUAAAUGUUUAUUGGGUAUUCCUCUAUUUGUGAAGAACACAAAUAACUUAUCAAACAAUCAAGAUAAAAAGAGUUUAGAAACUUUUUAAGUAACUGACCAAUUUCAUUUUUCGAUCUUAAAUGACACUCCAUUGACUUGAUGAAACGCGGUGCCAAUAUGCUACGACGUUGUGUAAAUUGAAAAGGAGUGAAGGAGAAAUAAUUCAACUGAAUACAAAAUUAGGGUGUAGACAACUAAUGAAUUGUUUAUCUCUAAUGACCGAAAAUUAAUUAAUAAACUGUAUUCAAUUAACAGCCUAUCUUCAGUGAAUAUAAAAUUAGGGGUAUCCACUAAUUAUUAUAUAUAAAAUUAAAUAUUAAGUUUGGUUCUGGUUCUGAUUUUUCAACUAGAACUGAAUCAAAACCAAAACUAAAACCAAAUGGUUAUCGGUUCAAAGAACCAAAACCAUUAAUUUUUUUAAUAGAACCGAACCGAACCACUUGGUUUGGUUUGGUUUUGGUUUUCGUGGUAUGGACAUUUUGUCCACCCCUAACAAUAACAUUUAAUUUUAUACAAUGCUACUAAUCUUGAAAGUCUUAUUAUUAACUUACCAUACUUAGUGGAAAAUUAUAUAUUGCAUUUGCUAAAAUCAGUGGAAAAAUAAUCUGAUUUUAGUCCUCAUCAAUCAAUUUUUUAUCAAAGGUUUUUAAUAACAUAUCGGUAUCACAUGCAUUAGUAUUUUAACAUCAAAGAUACAUAACAUUACUAUAAAUCAAAUAUAGGCAUAUCUAAUAGACUUUUUAAAUAUAAUAUACUCUAUAUUUUAAAUAGUCAACUUUUAAAAUUACGUUCCAAAAUAUUUUUUAAAUUAAUAUUUUAAUUUAGUCCCCAUUUGGCCCCCAUUAUUUUGUAUUAUAAUGUUGGGGGGGGGGGGGAAUGGGGGGUGGGGGGGGCAAUUAAUUUCGGAGGUGUUUUUGAAUUAAAAUAAUGCAUUAUGUAAAAGAUACAACACAACAAUUGAAGGUGAUAAUCAUUUUUUCAUAUCAUUUUGGUUUUCUUCUAAAAUGAAGGCACGCCAUGAAACUGAAAACUCGAGGUUUUGAGAAAAUGAGUGUGAUUAAAAUUGUGAGAUUUUAAUAGAAAAUUUUGCUUAACAAUGAGUUUUUUUUUUUAUAAAUGGAUUGUUGUAAAAGAAUGAAAAGUUUUCGAUUUAUGUGUAAUAUUAUUUUGUUAAAAAUUGUGGGGUUAAAAAUAGGAAAUAGAAAAUUUUAAAUAUAUUUGAUGAGGUUUUGAUGGCCAAAUGGGGGCUUAGAGGGUGAGCCAACCAUACUCUCUAUAAAUAAAUACAUUCAAAGUAUUUUAACUUUCAAUUGAAAAAAAUAAUAUAAUAACUUGGAGAGAAGCUAGUAAAAAUUAGAUAUAGAAAAAAUAAUAAAUAAUUUUUAGGAGUAAUCAAAUUAAGAGUUAAAUAUAAAGAGCUUAUUGAACUACUCUCAAAUUUUUACUCUCUAAUUUUAUAAAUACUUUCUAAAAUAUAGAAUAUGCUAUUUAAAAGUAUAGAGUCUCUUGGAUAUGCUCGAGACAUUUAUUUAAUCCACAUUCAUUGAUUAUUUAUUCAUGCUACAAGGAAUUGGCUUUGACUAUUAGAAUAUAUUUGAUUGACUUUAUUUUUCAUAAAAAUUGUCAUUUUUCCACCCAAAUUUCUAUUUUCGGGGUGUUUGAUUGAUAAUUUUUUUAAUGAAAAAUAUUUUCCAACUUUUGGUUAUAUAAUCAUAUUUUCUUUAGGGGUAAUUUACUCAUUCUUUCUCUCUCAUCUAUUUGCCAUUUCUCAUCUAUCCACAAAUAAAAAAUGGACAAAUAUAAUAUUUUUUAGAUUGAAAACUAAAUCAACUGAACACAUUUAAUUAAUAAUUUUUAUACUUGAAUUAUCUAGAAUUGUUUUUUUCAUUUAUAUUUCAUAUUCGUAAUCAAACGUACACUUAGGGAUUUCACUUGAAAUCGAUAAUUUUUCCACAUGUCUAAAAAUAUCAAAGGGUGUGAUCAACUGAGGUGGUUGGACGUCCGAUUCCCAUUAAGUGGAUUUAGCGGAAAAUAGUUGGGUGACUCGAUUUAUUUCACCUGAAGAUUAUUGAUUCAAAAAAGCCCAAUAAAAUAUAUUAAAAACGCCAGUUACAUUUUACCAUAUUCUUAAAACCUUUCAAUCCUAAAAUUUAAAGAGGAAAUUAGGCCCAGUACGGCCCAUAAGGAACAAAAUUGAAUACUACACUUUAAACCAAUUUAAAUAAUUCAGAACGUAAUUAAUACGUCUGAAAUCUCCCAGAACGUUAAGAGAGAGAACUGAUUGGUGUUUCUUCAACUUUUUUCCCAUUUCCAUUAUAUUAACCACCAGUUAUUGAGAAAAGAGCAGUACACAGCGGCACCUUCACCGACCAGUGGGACUUUCUCACAAGUCUAUGGCAGCUUCACCAUCCGACGCAAUCCUUUGCCGCACCCUCUGGGCAUAUCGACCUCGCUUCUUUUAAUGUGGGCAAGUAUUGAUAAUUCUACCAACUAUGAGAGAAAUUUCAAGGAAUAUUCACACUGCAAAUGCCAAUUUAAUUUAAUUAACAUACAUGAUUUGCUAUUUUGUUUUGGGAAAUAGAUCUAGGGAUUCGAUGUCCUGUGAUUAUAUUUUGCUGGUUAUGCUUCUGUUCUUGCUUUAAUGGGUGGAAAAAGUUUAAUUGACCUGAAAUAAGUUUUAUUUUGUGUUGCCAUGUGAAUUCGUAGCAUCAAUUAUACAUCUUGAAAAAACCCUACGCUGUUUGUUAAUUAUUCUAGUCUAGCCUUUCCCCCUCCAAUUUAGGCUGGUUUCUUCAGACUAAUAUGAAUCCCGGCAUUUCAAAUGCUCCUGUAUGUUUGUGAAAACUUCAAACAUAAGAUUACGUUUAUGGUUUUACAUUUAGUUUAAAACCAUCUGCUUACAAACCUGUUUUAUGAGAGAGUUCUACUCAAUGUGCUUUAAACACAUUGCUGUAUCCCAAUUUAAAUGAGGAUUGCAUUUAUUGAUAUUCAAUAAGUACAACUAAUGAAUGGGAACAUGGUUUCCAAACCUAGAGUGGAAUACAAAUAGCAAUCAUUUAUGUUAAUUAAAUUUAAAAAAAAAGAAAAAAAGAUGUCGUGUCACUUAAACAAAUAUAAAAAAGUGACAAUUUUUUAAUAAAAAAUUGACAUUGUGUAAGUAUACUCAUAUGCUUAAUUCCCUAUUAAGUUCAUUGAUGAAAUUUGGAUUAGAAGGAACUGAAGUAUAGGAUGAAAUUCAUACCUUUCGAUUAUUGAGGGUGAAAAUAUUUUAUAUGGAUGAUUUCAGAAAUGAUAUUAUUCGAUUAACAUUGAUGAGUGUUUAUACAAUUUUUUAAUAUUUACAUUGUAGUUUAGUCAUCAAUUUUCAUUAUUUGUGAGCUUAUUGGAAAAUUGGUUGUAAUUAAUUAAUUUUUUUUUUUGGAUUAUGAUUAUAUUGUCCAAGUUGUUAGUUCAAAAGUUUAUAAUUUGUUAAACAGUUGUGAACUUAUUGGAUAAUUUGGCUAUAUUGAAAAUUGUAGGUUAUGAUUUAUCAUUUUCUUUUUAUUUAUUUUCCGUCACUUUUUUUUUCCUCAAAUUUUGUUACUUUUUGAGUGUUUAUCACCUUUUUUAAUCUGCGUAACUUUUUCUAAUUUGUGUCACCUUUUGAAUUUGUCAUUUUUUUUUUGAAUUUUUGUCACUUUUUUUUUUUUAAUUGUUUGUCACAUUCUUGAUUUGUAUCACUUUUCUUAAAUUUUUCACUUUUUUAGUGUUUGUCAGUUUUUAGUGUAUAUUUCUUUUCUUUUUUUAAAUUUUGGUCACUUUUUUGUUUUUUUUUUAGAAUUUUCACUUUUUUAAGUAUCGUCACUUUUUUUAAUUAUCAUCAUACUAUUCUUGUCAUUUUCCUUUUUUUAAGUAAUUUUUUUAGUCUUCGUCACUUUUUUUAAUUUCUGUUACUUUUUCUAAUUUUUGUCAUUUUUUUUGAAUUUGUAGAAUUUAUUUUUUAGCAUUUGUCACUUUUUUAGUAUGUCACUUUUUUGAGUUUGUGUCACUUUUUUUUAAUAUUUGUCACUUUUCUAUCUUCUUAAAAAAGUGACAUAGUAUGUGGUAUUUUCCUAACAUAAUCAACAUGUUGAUUGUUUUGGACAUGCUGAUUAUGUUAAAAAUCGAUACUACGCUCACGUGGAUUGUCCUGAACAUGCUGAAUAAGUUAAGAACAUUAUUAUUGGUGCUACACAAAUGGAAUGUAUUAUUUUGGUGUUUGUCACUUUUUUUGAAUUUAUGUAACUUUUUUUGAAUGUUGUCAUUUUUUGAGUAUUCGUGUCACUUUUUUUAAUUUUGUCACUUUCUUUUUGUUUGUCACUUAUUUCACACAAUGUGAAAAAGUGACACAAUUUUUAUAAAAAGUGAAAUUAUGUCACUUUUUAAUUUUACACAGUAUUUUUUACUACCAAAAAACUUUUUAUAUGAUUUUUCAAAACACUUCUAAUUUUAAAGGUAUUUUUGUAAGUUACCCAAAUUUAAAGCUCUAUUUUACUUAAAUUAAGGCCCGUUUGAGCCACAUUAAUAUAAGAAUGAGAAUGAAAAAUAUAGUCAUUACGGAUCCCACACAAAAAAUAGAAAAUCAAAUAUAGCAUUUUGAUGUGAUAAAUAAUGGUCAUAUUUUUUAUUUUAAUGGACAAAUAAUGGAAAAAAACGGGGGCUAAGUCUUUGUUUGGUAACCAUUAUUUCAAAAUUCUUUUUUUUUAUACUAAUUUUCAAUCAUAUAUUCACACAAUAAACUCUUAUUUGAUGGCCAUUACUUAAAAAAAAAAAAAUGAUAUUUUGAAUAUUGAUUUUUUGGAUAACACGUGAUUGAAAAAUAGCGAAAAUAUUUUUGAUUUAGGUUCAAAAUAUUUUAUUGUGUGAACAUAUGGUUAAAAAUAUAUAUGAGAUAAAGAGUUUUAUCUCAAAGGAAGACGAACAUGCAAAUUUUUUUCCUACUUUAUAACUUUCACAGAAACUUACUAUUCAAUAACUCAUUCUUCUCAAAAACUGAUUGUCAAAUAGGGACCAAACCUAGUCCCUGUUUUAUUUUGCUAAAAACAUAUUUUCAUUGAAAUUGAUAAAAGUUAAUGAAAUAUGUGGUUAAAAAAUUGAUAAAAAUUAUCUAUUCAUGAAUAUGCGAUUAAAAGAGCAACAACUAGUCAUUAUUAUCUUGUAUUUGUCUAAAAUUUGUCAUUACAAAAUUAAAAGACAAGUUCAACUCAAUUAUUAUUUGACAAGUUUUGCUUUGGUGGACUGGCUGGUGAAUUGCUUCAUGUUAGAAUUUUUGUAAGAUGAAAAUACAGUGUUUCAGACUAUAUUAGCAUGAAUAAAAUAAGAAAUGAUAUAUAUGCAAACAAGUGGGGGUUUGAGUCGUUUGACCAAUAGAGAAAAAUUAAAAAUGGGACAACUUAUAUGUCGAUGACAUGUCAUGCUUAGACCCAAAAAAACUCCAUUCAUAAGAGCAAAAUAAUCCAGGUAGAGAAGGUUAUAAGAGGAAGAUAUGGAUCAAAAUUAAAAUGUUGGAGGACAGAGAGGUUUAAUAGCUUGGAUUGGCUAAGGCUUUUAGGAAAGACAUAACUAAUAGAAAGAAGUUAACAAAAAAGAAACUUGUACUUCUCACCUUCAAAACUCAUACACUUGGCUUGUUACAAAAUGGAAGACCUUACUCUUUGUUGCAGAAGCUUUCUUGAAAGAUCUUCAAAUCGGUGAUUUUCGGACUCAGUCCAACGCACAUUUCUUAACCAACAACUAGUCCAAUCGACUCCAAACCACAACUAAUUGAUUCACCUUGAUUGCUAUUCAAUCUUACUCACGUAGGACAAGAAAAGAUGAUGAUUUGUGACCACAAAGGCUAGGAGAAGACACCACUAAGGUAUACUAUGAAGGAACCACCAAUUGCACACGUUACACAAACGUUCUAGACACUUCUGGAUACCUUUUUUCUCACACAAAGAGGUGCAGCCGGGAUUCACUUUUUCUUCUCUCAAAAUCACACAAUCAUUAUAUGAAAGUGGCUAGGGUUAUAGCCAAAUAUAUACUCUAGGGUUAGACUUUAAGUUGGACUAUUAAAGGGGUAAACGGGUCAAGAUUCAAGCCAUCCAUAAGGAAAUACAAUUUGGGAUGGGUGUAGCUCAUGGACUUGAUUGUUGGACUUAUUUCAUUUAUCGGCCUAUACUUAUGAAAUAAUAUUAACACACGUUAACAUCAUAGCCCGAGAUUUAUUGGGUAUAAAAAACCCAACAAAUCUCCACCUUGAUACUCAAUAAUUCUGCAAGCAAUCAAAACACACAGUUAACACUUGCAUAAUCAAGGUAGCCAAUAAAAUUGGAUCAUAGACCUUACCUCGUGUUUUCAACUUGAAACACAUACCAUACCUACUUCAUGUACUCAUUAGGGCUAAGGUCAAAAAAUACCCAAAUAGAAGUAAAUAUUUAACAGUAAACAAUCAAGAGCAAAUAUACAUGCGAUGACGAUAUACAAUAGGAUAACACACAGAUAUUUUCAGAAAUACGUUCACAUAGAACCAUAGAUUAACACCAAGUCAAUCAAACCAUGGUCAACCACAUAUGCAACACAUGCAUAAAUGACCCUAGGAAAAGAUUUCACCACACUUAUCCUAUCCCAUUCCGUGUUGCUCACGCUUCGAGAACACAUAUCUCCUCUUAUCGCCCACCAAACUCACUAGACAGAUCACUCAACUCAUAUCUAACUGGCAAGUCACAAUAGAUCCUAAAUCCACAGGAUAAUCCUCUAUCUCCACAUCACUUCUCCCAACCUACGUGGAUAAUGGGUCUCCACCUAACAGAAGUGAUAGAAGUGCCUCUCUCAUACUCCACUUGAUCAGGGUCUCUUUUUAGAUAAAGGAUUUUAGACAUUUGAUCACAUCUCCACUCGUGAUCCAAAUGUCACACUCCACAUCCUUGGUACAAACCACCAUGUACCCCUAGACAUCUGUACUCUACCUUACCAAAAAGACAUCCAACUCACUACUAAUGCAUCUCAAGCUCACUAUGGCAAAUCAACACCUUUCGGUGACCACAAAGGUUACUCCAAUCACCAAAGCUCCAAAAAAUCCACAAAGAAAAUGGCGAAGGUGGCAAUCACAAAGAAAAAUUGAAGAAAGAGUCGGUUACUUCACAACACUCACAAAGAAGCCUCACAAAGAGGAAGAAUAUAACCCUAACAUGGCUGCAUCACAUAAUCUUACAAACCACACAGGCUCACAAAGAUAAAGGAGAGAAAUGGCUGCCCAACUUGCUUCUCACUACCACACUCUCACACCACUCACAGAGCAAAUAGAGUACGCCAUAAAACUUAACGCACUAUGCAUAUAAACAUAUUACACAAAGUAAUAAAUCACUCUAAUUCAUGCAAUUACACACAUCAAACAUAUUGAAAGUGUAACAUCAACAUUGCAAUAGAAUUAAGUGAUCAUAUACAUGUAGAAAGGAUUACACACAGAUGCGAUGCAGUAACCAAGUUUAUUCUCUCAAUAAAAAUAAUUAGGAUCACUACUCGACCCUAAAGUCACAUUCACCUCAUCUCUAUCCUUUUAUUAUCAUCCUAGGACAUUCUCUUUUAAUUAUGCCCAAAUUUUACCACAGUUAAAACAUAUUUUAUUUUUGCACUUGCCUUAGACCUAUACAUGCCAACAAUAUCAAAUAAUGACCACAAGCAAAGUACUGACACAUAAUUCACACAGAACAGUCAAGUAAAUUUUUCUGAGGUCUCAUGCAAUUCUAUCGGUGUAUUGGUGACAAAUUCACAUGGCAAUUAAUUAACAUGUAAUUCCUAUGUCUAACAACAGGCAAUGGUUACCACUUCACGGUAACCCCAAACCUAACGUCACAUUAGACGAUGACUUUUAACGCUAAAAAUAAAUAAUUAACCUACACAUUUAUUUUAACUGCUAAUAAUAAAAAACAAAGAAUACGAUACCCAGCGGACCACGUCUGAAGGUUCGUAAUUUAUGAGACAUGCGAAUUUAAUACUUUAGGACUACCACUAUUCGUCCUAAAGUCUCUGAAAACUGUAGCAACCAAAAAAUCACGAUCAAGUCCCAAACGUCCAAGAACAACGCUGUCCAGAUUCUACUGUGUACCCUGAAAUAGAAAACUUUCAACACGAAAAAUGUCAGAAAUAAUAUGAGGAACAAACUGCCUGAAGGGACCUCCUUGAAAUUCCUCACGUCGCCGUUGAUUGACAUGCGCCGUCCUACAGGGUUCUUCUCCAUCUGCACGUUACGCCAGUGAUCUUUAUUUUCUCAAACUCCUUCUGGAUUGAUCAGAAAAUGCGAAAAAAAGAGACUAAUUUUGACAGUUUUUGGACAGCUUCUUUAAUCUGAUUUCUGCUGCGAUUUCUGGACUUUUUGGUAUGUUUCACGAGCCAAAACCACCACCUUGAAGCUCUGAUACCAAUUGUUGUGGAAGCUCUCUUGAAAGAUCUUCAAAUCGGUGAUUUUCGGGCUCAGUCCAAUGCACCUUUCUCAAUCAACAACCAGUCCAAUCGACUCCAAACCACAACCAAUUGAUCACUUUGGUUGCUAUUCAAUCUUACCCACGUAGGACAAGAAAUGAUGAUGAUUUGAGGCCACAAAGGCUAGGAGAAGAUAGCACUAAGGUAUACUAUGAAGGAAUCACCAAUUACACACGUUAUAACCAAAUAUAUACUUUAGGGUUAGGCUUUAAGUUGGACCAUUAAAGGGGUAAACGGGCCAAAAUUCAAGCCAUUCAUAGGGGAAUACAAUUGGGCUGGGUGUAGCUCAUGGACUUGGUUGUUGGACUUAUUUCAUUCAUCGACUUAUGCCUAUGAAAUAAUAUUAACCCACGUUAAUAUUAUAGCCCGAAAUUUAUUAGGUAUCAAAAACCCAACACUCUUUUAUAUAAAGUUUACAUGAAACUUCUAGUCCACACGUUUUCUUAGAGAUUUCUAGACCAUAUAUUUUGAACUAGAUACUUUUCUAGAAUAUUUUAGAUAGAGUUUUCAAAACCACAUAAUCUUCUUGACACAUGACAAAAUUUAUUACCACAUCUUGUACUUAGAUAUUUACGUAGAUUUUUCUAGACAUUUUUAUAGAAAUGUUAGGUUUUGUUGGACUUUUGAAUUAGGUUUAUGAUUAAAACCUUUAAGCCCAUAUUACUUAGUCCAAAAUCAAGUUUACUUCUCAACAUAAAAUGGCCCGAUGUGAUCAUAAGAAAUUUGAUUUUAUUGUAAGGGAAAAUUACAUCUAUACAGGUGUUUGAAUAUUGAAUUUCAAAAAUAAGGUUCAAGAUUUAUUUAUGCAAAAAUCAGGUAACAAUUUUAUAUUUUAAUAAAUAUAAUAAUAUUAAUAAAUUUCAAUUAUAUAAUCUCACCAUAUUCCAUCCACCCAAUUAAAACUCUAACUAUUUUCUUCCCUAAUUUUCCUCUUCUUCUCGUCGUCUCUCUCUGUCUCUUUAUCAUCUCCGUCACAUAUGGUCGCCGUCAUUAGAGACCACAUCGGAGCUCGUCCCUAGGAGCAACGAGCGGCAUGCAAUUCCAGCAUCUGUACCUUUAUGCCUGAAUUUGUGGUUUUGUUGAUGUAUACAAAUCGGGGCGAUUCGUGGUUUCACCGAUGCCUUUGUGUUUGCUUGGCUUCUACGUGGAUGUGGUGACGGUGACGACAUGCUCAUAUCCCUGUUGAAGCAAUUCUACGUCAUGAUUCAGAGUUGAAGCCGGUGGGUCAGCCUAUGUAUGGAAUUUCAAUGUUUGAUAAGGCGGUGGUGUAGGUAUUUUUAUCUAUAGGUGGUUAUCUGAUGUGCAGGCGACGGUUGUGUGGUAAUGGUGGUUUUGUCGUUGUUGUUGGCGGCAGUUAUGGAAGUGUUGUGUUGGGGGGGCAGAUUUGUGUGUGGUGUGGUGUAGGUGAUGGUUGUGUAAUGGUGUGGUGUAGGUGGCGGUUGUGUGGUGGUGGUCAUUUUGUUGUUGUUGGCGGUGGUGGUGUCAAUCUCUGUAGUGGUGUGGUACAGGCGGCGAUUGUGUGGUGAUGGUCAUUUUAGUUGUUAGCGGUGGUUCUGGUGGUGUUGUGGUGAGGGUGGAUCUGUGGGUGGUGGUUAUCUGAUGUGUAGGCGGCGAUUGUGUGGUGGUUUUGUGUCUGUUUUGUUUGUGGUGAGGUAGUGCUAGUUGCAAUAUUUGAGAUGACGUGACUGUUGAAGAUGGUGGUGGUGUGAUUUUAGUGGCGGUGGUUUUGAAGAUUAUGCGACUGGUGGUGGUGGUCACAGGUGAUGGUGAUGGUUACAAAUGAUUUAAUUGUUUGCGAUCAAGAAAAUUGGCUUAUGUGACCAAUCAUUUGGUUAUUUAUGACCAACUAUUUAGUUUGGCCUAAAAAUUUAAAUAAUUUGUGAUCAAGUAAUUUGGACUCGAAAUAAUUUGUGAUCUGUAAAUUUUUUAUUUGUGACGUAUAAAAUUUUUGAUUUGUGUCCUCGAAAUAAUAUGUGACCAAUUAACUUGAUGAUACGUGAUCAAUAAAUAAGUUUGAGACUUAUAAUUAUGAACAUGUGACCAUUAUUGGUAUAAAUGUGACUUUAUUAUUUUGAAUUAAUAAAAUAUAUUUAAUUAAAAAAUGAAAACCUGAUUUUUUCAGUUUCAAAACUUUAGACACGAGAAUUGAAUAGUCAAUACCUAAUACCUUAAUUGUGAAUUUUUCCCUUAUUGUAAUUUUUGGUGAUGUAGCUAUAAAUUGAACAGAUAGGUGAAAAAAUGAUUUAUGUAUCAAACCCCAUAAUUAUUGAGAAUGUUACUAGCGUAUUGUUGUUUGCAAUUUUCUUUUCCAAAUUUCAUCAUUCCAGGUUAUUCGCCAAGUUUCUUGUGGAGCAUUUCAUGUGGUUGCUCUAUCAGAAGAUGUCUUGUGGGUAGUGUUUUCUUGCACUCCGUAUGAAUCUGAAAUGAUUCUUCGCAAUAUACCUGUUUUGGUGAUUCCGACUGGUUGCAUGUGGACAGCGUCACACGCUUGUUUCUACUAAAGACGGAAGAGUUCAUGGACGGGGUUACAAUUGUUAUGAUCAGGCUGCUAAUGAGAAAUCAACAUAUGCUUGUAAUCCUUCCCCAGUUGACUGGUGUGAUAUGGAAGAGAAUGUUCGGCUAAAGCCUAAAAAAUGUAAAUGUAAUUGAAGAAAAGUAAGCAAAGACUUUAAAAAAGGGUUUGGAAAAAAGUUACUUUUAAGCUUGUGAAUAUGCGUCUAAGCUUAAAAGUUUCUUCCAAGUACUACUUUUUUCAGGAUUAGCCAAAGAUGCUUUACAUGAAUGAGGAAGUAUGCUAAUGAAAGCCUUUUAACAGAUGCAUGUUCUUUAAAAGAAUUGUCUGAGUUUAGGGUAGCAGACAGUGUGACUCCGUCAAUUGCUUCAUUGAUUGAGGAUGUUGCGUAUAGAACUGGUCUUUGCACAAGAUUAAGGUAAUAUCAUGUUUAUUCGGAGAAUGCCUAAUUUUGUAUAUAUGAUAUAUUAAAUGGUAAUACAAAAUGACCACAGUACCUAUGACUUUACCAUGAUUGCAUUUAGCUUGUACUAAACAAUGUUAUUAUCUUCAAAAUUGUGACCAGCCUUGUGGAUCUGUCUGAUUGAAAAUGAAGUUUGACAAUUUAUAAAUUUCAUCAAAUGGAAUAAAUUUUAUUCUGGUUAGAAAUCUCUUGAUGUCAAUUUAGUUAACAUGUAUUAGAGUGCAUUCAUGGUACCCCUUCUUUUGUCAAAACAUCAUGAGGAUUGAAGGUUUACAACUUAAGAAACGGGGCAAGACGAGACCAGCAAAUGUUUAUUACAGACUUGAAAAUUUGACUAGAAACAGAAAUUUACCUACUCCAAGGGAUUAGCGGAUACAGAAACACCAAGAAAACAGGCUUAAAAGCCCUAGAAUUUAACGAGAGUAUAAUGAAACGGCUCAGUGCAAAAUCGUACUUUUAAUAGCAAUAAUUGAUGAUGUUUAAGAAAAUCUUGUCUUUGUUCUGGCUCUGUUUCAAUUUUUCUUCCCCGACUAUAGUAGUCCCUUUGAAAUAAUAAAAUAAUGAAAAAUUAAAAAGGACUGAUGAGCAUCCCAAACCUUGCCAUUUUCUUUCGUUCCAAGCCAAUCUACAGUUUUGACCAGGAUAAUAAUCACCAAUCUUAGUGAUAGUGGUUACUACCUCUGCUAAAAAUGAGCAAGAGAAAAGCCAGCGGUACGUGUCAUGACAUGGGAUGUACUAUCCAUCGAAACAAAAUAGAAAAUUGUUACAUUGUGCGAGAUAAAAUAGAAAAUUAUUACAUAGUGCGAGAUAAAAUAGAAAAUUAUUACAUAGUGUGGCAUGAUGCAACUAUAAUAGCGCCUCCAUACAUUUAAUUUCAAGAAACACACUUUACGUAUAUCUGCUUGUGAAAGGUGAGCACGUAGAAACCAUUCAACAUUGUAGUUAAGCCCAGAACAUACAAUCAUACAUCUUUUAACGAUAGUAUCUCUUUUUUUAUGCAAACUUGAUAUUUGGCUUGCUAGAUAUUCAUUGUUAUCGUAUAAAAACUUCAGCUNNNNN